rnacentral:rRNA from 1 species
CCUACGGGAGGCUGCAGUGAGGAAUAUUGGUCAAUGGACGAGAGUCUGAACCAGCCAAGUAGCGUGAAGGAUGACUGCCCUAUGGGUUGUAAACUUCUUUUAUAUGGGAGUAAAAUGUUCCACGUGUGGGAUUUUGUAUGUACCAUAUGAAUAAGGAUCGGCUAACUCCGUGCCAGCAGCCGCGGUAAUACGGAGGAUCCGAGCGUUAUCCGGAUUUAUUGGGUUUAAAGGGAGCGUAGGUGGAUUGUUAAGUCAGUUGUGAAAGUUUGCGGCUCAACCGUAAAAUUGCAGUUGAAACUGGCAGUCUUGAGUACAGUAGAGGUGGGCGGAAUUCGUGGUGUAGCGGUGAAAUGCGUAGAUAUCACGAAGAACUCCGAUUGCGAAGGCAGUUCACUGGACUGCAACUGACACUGAGGCGCGAAAGUGUGGGUAUCAAACAGGAUUAGAUACCCUUGUAGUC